AUGAAGAGAAGGAGAAGGAUGCCUCUGGAGGUAAAGUAUUCUGAUCUGGAAACUGAUCUCCAGGAAUUGGCUGAGGCAAAGACUGGGGGUAAAGGUGGAGAUGGUCCUGAUGUCAGGGAGGAGUUUGCAUCAAAUACAGAGCCUGUUGAAAUGCCAGAAGCAGGUACGUCAUCCAUUCAGAAAGUAAUUUAUGUGGUUUCUGUUUUUUCAGAAUAUUAUAUCUUUACUAAUAUAGAGGGAACACUACUAUUAUUUUAAUAACAGAGUUCACAUAUUCUUUGAAAGAUAGUUCAGACCCCAGAUGCCUGAGUGCCUGAUUUACAGACUUUCAAAUAAAGAAACAGACAUGAUCA
rnacentral:lncRNA from 1 species